rnacentral:rRNA from 1 species
UAACACGUAUCCAACCUGCCGUCUACUCUUGGACAGCCUUCUGAAAGGAAGAUUAAUACAAGAUGGCAUCAUGAGUCCACAUGUUCACAUGAUUAAAGGUAUUCCGGUAGACGAUGGGGAUGCGUUCCAUUAGAUAGUAGGCGGGGUAACGGCCCACCUAGUCUUCGAUGGAUAGGGGUUCUGAGAGGAAGGUCCCCCACAUUGGAACUGAGACACGGUCCAAACUCCUACGGGAGGCAGCAGUGAGGAAUAUUGGUCAAUGGGCGAGAGCCUGAACCAGCCAAGUAGCGUGAAGGAUGACUGCCCUAUGGGUUGUAAACUUCUUUUAUAAAGGAAUAAAGUCGGGUAUGGAUACCCGUUUGCAUGUACUUUAUGAAUAAGGAUCGGCUAACUCCGUGCCAGCAGCCGCGGUAAUACGGAGGAUCCGAGCGUUAUCCGGAUUUAUUGGGUUUAAAGGGAGCGUAGAUGGAUGUUUAAGUCAGUUGUGAAAGUUUGCGGCUCAACCGUAAAAUUGCAGUUGAUACUGGAUAUCUUGAGUGCAGUUGAGGCAGGCGGAAUUCGUGGUGUAGCGGUGAAAUGCUUAGAUAUCACGAAGAACUCCGAUUGCGAAGGCAGUCUGCUAAGCUGCAACUGACAUUGAGGCUCGAAAGUGUGGGUAUCAAACAGGAUUAGAUACUCUGGUAGUCCACACGGUAAACGAUGA